rnacentral:lncRNA from 1 species
CUUAAAGAGAUAGGCACCUACUUUCCCUCCACCCUAAACACCGCCCUGAGGGCGGCGGCGACUGUGGUAAUUGCAGCUGCUUAGGGGCAGGGCUUGCCCCAGCACUGAGUAGUGGCAACAGCGUGGUUGCGUCGGGGGUGUUGGGAGCCGGCAGCCCCGGGGGCCUGAAUUAGGCUACUCCCCGGGCUGACACUCUCUCCCUAAGGGAGACGUGCUGUCGAAUCAGCGCUGGGCAGCGACAGCGCCCAGGGGGGCUUCUUCAUUUGAGGAGAGGUGGGGUUAUAGGGCACAGGUGACAGGGCCGGAGAAAGAUGGAGCAGCCCUGGGCGGCGGCGUCGGGAGCGGGAGGCGGCAGCGAGGAACCCUGUGGGGGCCGGAGCAACAAGCGGAGCGCGGGGAACCGAGCUGCCAACGAAGAGGAAACGAAAAACAAACCCAAAUUGGUGAGUGCUCCCGCAGCCCCCGCCGGCCUUG